GAAUAUCGGCGAACAGAGGCCCUGCCAAUUCGAAACUAGAUAUUAAUUGUAGGGCUCACUGUAAGUAUAUUAAAAGGUGACAAAAUCACCCAAAACGUCACUUUGGGUGUGUAUGUGUGUGUUUUCUUUUUCUUUUUUUUCAACCGUUUAGCAAACUUAUCAUUUAUGUAAUAAUAUAAAACUACAUCUUUCAAGCAUUGCAUUGAAACAUAAUCACAGAAUGCGCUUAUGGUCUUACAAAAACAUGUGCUACGUACUAGCAAGAUGUUAUUAUUGUUACUAUAUAUUGCGGUUCCAUGCAUGCUUGUUGAAUAAUUUAUGGAUGACUGCCAGCUGGACCUCUCGGAGGUGGUGGUGGAGCCGGUGGAUAAUCAGUCACACGACCUCGAGCAAAGGAUGGUUGCAAAAGAAGAAGCAUUAUUAUGCAGCAUAACUCCAAAAGAAACCACAGCAGAUUGUUCCGCUUCAUCUCAUUUCUCAUUUUAAUUGCCCUCUUACCACAUAGAGUUUUCUA
rnacentral:lncRNA from 1 species